GCCGGAGUGGCGGAAUGGCAGACGCACGCGCCUCAAAAGCGCGCGAUCGCAAGAUCAUGUGGGUUCAACUCCCUCCUCCGGCACCU
rnacentral:tRNA from 1 species